AUUGAACGCUGGCGGCAUGCCUAACACAUGCAAGUCGAACGAGUGGCGGACGGGUGAGUAAUAUCUGGGAACCUGCCCGAUGGCGGGGGAUAACUACUGGAAACGGUAGCUAAUACCGCAUACCAUCGGAUGUUCCCAUAUGGGAUUAGCUAGUAGGUGGGGUAACGGCUCACCUAGGCGACGAUCCCUAGCUGGUCUGAGAGGAUGACCAGCCACACUGGAACUGAGACACGGCCCAGACUCCUACGGGAGGCAGCAGUGGGGAAUAUUGGACAAUGGGCGCAAGCCUGAUGCAGCCAUGCCGCGUGUAUGAAGAAGGCCUUCGGGUUGUAAAGUACUUUCAGCGGGGAGGCGUUACCCGCAGAAGAAGCACCGGCUAACUCCGUGCCAGCAGCCGCGGUAAUUC
rnacentral:rRNA from 1 species